rnacentral:rRNA from 1 species
UACGUAGGGUCCGAGCGUUGUCCGGAGUUACUGGGCGUAAAGCGCGCGCAGGCGGAUCGUCAAGCAUGGCGUGAAAGCCCCCGGCUCAACCGGGGAGGGUCGUCGUGGACUGGCGGUCUUGAGGGCGGUAGGGGCUGGUGGAAUUCCCGGUGUAGUGGUGAAAUGCGUAGAGAUCGGGAGGAACACCUGUGGCGAAGGCGGCCAGCUGGGCCGACCCUGACGCUGAGGCGCGAAGGCGUGGGGAGCGAACGGG